UACGAAGGGGGCUAGCGUUGUUCGGAAUCACUGGGCGUAAAGGGCGCGUAGGCGGCCGAUCAAGUCGGGGGUGAAAGCCUGUGGCUCAACCACAGAAUUGCCUUCGAUACUGUUUGGCUUGAGACCGGAAGAGGUUAGUGGAACUGCGAGUGUAGAGGUGAAAUUCGUAGAUAUCCGGAAGAACACCGGUGGCGAAGGCGGUCUGCUGGGGUAAUGCUGACACUGAUGCGCGACAGCGUGGGGAGCAAACAGG
rnacentral:rRNA from 1 species